UCUAUUAAAACUGUAUCGUAAAUUUAACUACCCCUCAGUAACUUGUAAUGUCAAAACUAAAAUCCCAUGAAAAUGUCUAAAACUAGCAACCCAUAUUGGUAAAUUGUUUAUUUUUAGAUAAUAGUUACUACAGCCUUGGUUACGUUUUCUUUUCCAUUGAAAAAUAUAAAUAAAGCAAAGCAGUUAUGUGAGUAGAGCGAUAGAAGAAAGAGUAAACGAUUAAAAAUAACCUUUUUAUAGGAAAAAGGCAAAAGACUGCGGUCAACCUGAAACCUACUUAAGAAAAUGAAACGGCUACGGACAAUCGUGGACCGAAUUGCCAAGUUGCUUAUUACUGAGACUUAAUUUCUGUAAGGACCAUGGACAUUUCUGAUGAAUUUCAAUUCAUCUACCAUCGCGGUAGUCGAGUCAAGAAUAUCAUAUCUACGGUUCUACCGCCGAGUACAAACGAGGACGUGCCGUCGUUUUACAAAGUGAUGUAGUGUGUAUUUUACCGAAUCAGAUCUAAUCAUCUGAAAAUUAUAAAUAAAAAUCAUAAACAAUGGUGAAA